AGGAACUUAGGAUAGUACAGUCCAAAGGCCUUCAAAGCCCUAAGCGGAGGUGAAAAUCCUUCAGUCCCUG
rnacentral:tRNA from 1 species